UCAGCCUGUGUGUGUCCUGUGGGGCGAGAGGGGGAGUGCUCUGCUCACCACCCUGCACCCGCUGCCCGGCUCUGCUUCCCACUCUUGGCUGGUGCCCCGUGGGCCUUUCAGGCGAUCUGGGCGGAAGUAGGUCAGGGACCUUCCAGCUGUGGGAUCCCCAGUGGGGUAUUUUUCCCUCUCCACCCUGGUCUUCUCCUGUAACGUGUGGCCGCCUUUUCCAGCACGGCCUCCUGCCUUCCUGGUGCACUUUUUGGAGAACGUGGUGGAAUCAGAGGUUUCUGGCUGACUCGGUGGGUGCUUUGAACCAGGAAAGGACAAGAAAGAGGAUGGGAAGGACUGAUCCACAUUCCCACCAGGAAGUUUAGCAGAACCCCCGCGUGCCACCUGGACCCCUUGGAAGGACCUGGCUCAGGCUGGACCACCUCUUGAGAGGCAGGAGCUCUGGAUUUGAUCAAGAAUUCUUUGCUGAGCAUGGUGCCUCAUGCCUAUAAUCCCAACACUUUGGGAGGCCAGUGUGGGAGGAUCUCUUGAGCCCAGGAGUUCAAGACUAGCCUGGGCAACACAGAGAGACCCCAUCUCUAAAAUAAUAAUAAUAAUAAAAUAAAAAAUUAGCAGGGCAUGGUGGCAUGUGCCUGUAGUCCCAGCUACCCAGGAGGCUGAGGCAAGAGGAUGGCUGGAGCCUGGGAUGUUGAGGCUGCAAUGAACUGUGAUUACCCCACUGCACUCCAGCCUGGGCAAAAGAGCGAGAGACCCUGUCUCAAAUAAUAAUAAUAAUAAUAAUCUUAUUUUGGAGAAUAAAGAGACCUCUGGAUUUGAGGUGCCAUUUGGGUAGAAAGAAAAGACGUUUACACCGAGAAAUAGUCUGUGUUGCCCUGAAGGAGCAGAGGGAUGCAUCGCUGGAGGUGACCUACAGUUGAAGAAGACUCAUUAUGACAGACCUUGUCCUUCUUCCUUGUGGAAAGUGUUUCCUCUGCUGCUACUGCUCAUGAGACUCUUCCCCCUCCCUGUCCCAGGGAACCAAAGGGCUUUCUACCACACCCUUUCUUGCCCCCCGCCUCCCAUGUCUGCUGUGCCUUUGUACUCAGCAAUUCUUGUUUGCUCCAUUAUCUUCCAGCCGGAUACAGAGUGAAUAGUUAACCACACUUAGGUCAAAUAGGAUCUAAAUUUUUGUUCCUGCUCCGUGUAAAGAGGCCAGUGUUUGUGUGUUGCAAGCAGCCUUGGAAUAGUAACUCUUCUCAUUUGUUUGGGAUCUGGCCACCAAGUUCCAGAAUGAUACACGGAUCAGUGCAGAAGUUCAUCAGGCUCUCGGACCUUAGGGCUGUUGGAGAAGGCUUCAGCAGCAGAACUGAUGGUGAAGGCUCGUGUUCUCCAUCCUCAACUUUCUUUGCUUCGAUCAUACACAAGAAUACAUUUGGAAGGGCAAAAAAUGAACACUGUCGUUCAUUGCAGCCGUGUUUUGUGACACAGAUGCACAGUCUGCUGUGAAGACCUUCUCUCAAGUGGCAUUUGGGAGUCCAUGCCAGAUCAUGGUGCUUCAUGAGAGACUGACAGCUAUCAGGGGUUGUGGCACUUAGUGAGGACUCUCCUCCCCCAGUGUGUGCUGAUGACACAUACACACCUGACAAUAGCUUGAGUCUUCUCUGUUCCUUUUACUCUGUAGCCAACAUACACAUGAUUUAAAACCCUUUCUAAAUAUCUAUCAUGGUUCAUCCUUGUCCAAAUGCAGAGUCAGAGCUAUUUGUACUUCAUUAUUAUUUCCAAGGCGAAUAGUUGGCUUUCUUUUUGCAAAAAUAAUUAAAGUUUUUGUAUGUUGCA
ensembl:lncRNA LINC00511 long intergenic non-protein coding RNA 511